rnacentral:tRNA from 2 species
GCCCACGUAGCUCAGGGGAUAGAGCACUGGCCUCCGGAGCCAGGUGCCGCAGGUUCGAAUCCUGCCGUGGGCA